AACGAACGCUGGCGGCAUGCCUAACACAUGCAAGUCGAACGAGACCUUCGGGUCUAGUGGCGCACGGGUGCGUAACGCGUGGGAACCUGCCCUUAGGUUCGGAAUAACUCCCCGAAAGGGGUGCUAAUACCGGAUAAUGUCUUCGGACCAAAGAUUUAUCGCCUUUGGAUGGGCCCGCGUUGGAUUCGCUAGUUGGUAGGGUAAAAGCCUACCAAGGCGACGAUCCAUAGCUGGUCUGAGAGGAUGAUCAGCCGCACUGGGAAUGAGACACGGCCCAGACUCGUACGGGAGGCAGCAGUGGGGAAUAUUGGACAAGGGGCGAUAGCCUGAUCAAGCAAUGCCGCGGGAGUGAUGAAGGCCUUAGGGUUGUAAAGCUCUUUUACCCGGGAUGAUAAUGACAGUACCGGGAGAAUAAGCACCGGCUAACUACGUG
rnacentral:rRNA from 1 species